CCGGAUUUUCCUCUUCUAAAUAUUUUACCACGAGACUAUAAUUUUAGGUUAAAAAUAACGAAACUCGACAAAUUUUGCUGAUGUUAGGAAAUUAGUUGUUUUGCUCAGAAAAGAUGUAUUUUCUCUUUAAAUAUAUGCUCUCAAAAUUUUAAUUCCUUUAGUUUAGCCUAACCCCAUGCAUCCUAUUCACACGGCGUACACUCUCGCACUCCAUACAUUUAGCUAAUAAAUUACGUUAUAAACAAAAAAAGCAAAAUAAAAAGAUAAAUUACGUAUAUCACUAGCUAUCCUAUAACCCACUUAAACUGAGUUUUGGAUUCAGGUUCGAAACGUAAAACCUUAACUGAAAGGGCAUGGGCUUUAAGUUUUGUCAAUUGUCCGAAGUAAAUAUAAACCGUAAACUUACCUAAACCUCGAUUAAAUAAGCAUGAGAAUGCAUAGAGUUGUUUUGAAUUUUUAAAUGUAAAACUGUCUUAAGUCAAGUUAUUUGUCAUCAAAUGCCGCAUUUGGUUAAAAAGAAAGAAUACUUAAUUGUCUUUAGCUAUUGAACUAUAUUGGAUUUUGAAUCCAUGCAAACGGAAAUUACCGUGUUUUAACGACCAUAUAUAGUACAGUUUAUCUAUAUAGUGCAUAUGCAUCGAAAUAUUAAAGAACUUAUCCGCAAUUCUCAUACUCAUUUAACCGGAACACCUUAUUUCAUUUGCAUGGUACGUCGCAGCUGCUCUCAAACCCGCAAGUCACAAGAUACUUAUCAUAUUUAAUCAAAGAGGAUUCAUUAUAAAGUCAAGUUUCCACUAUGAAAUCAACAUCAGCGUAAAAAAACAAAGCAUAGUAUAUAUUCCCAUGGGAAUUAAAAAUACG